rnacentral:rRNA from 1 species
CGUAACAAGGUCUCCGUUGGUGAACCAGCGGAGGGAUCAUUACUGAGUUUACGCUCUAUAACCCUUUGUGAACAUACCUAUAACUGUUGCUUCGGCGGGUAGGGUCUCCGUGACCCUCCCGGCCUCCCGCCCCCGGGCGGGUCGGCGCCCGCCGGAGGAUAACCAAACUCUGAUUUAACGACGUUUCUUCUGAGUGGUACAAGCAAAUAAUCAAAACUUUUAACAACGGAUCUCUUGGUUCUGGCAUCGAUGAAGAACGCAGCGAAAUGCGAUAAGUAAUGUGAAUUGCAGAAUUCAGUGAAUCAUCGAAUCUUUGAACGCACAUUGCGCCCGCCAGCAUUCUGGCGGGCAUGCCUGUUCGAGCGUCAUUUCAACCCUCAAGCUCUGCUUGGUGUUGGGGCCCUACAGCUGAUGUAGGCCCUCAAAGGUAGUGGCGGACCCUCCCGGAGCCUCCUUUGCGUAGUAACUUUACGUCUCGCACUGGGAUCCGGAGGGACUCUUGCCGUAAAACCCCCAAUUCUCCAAAGGUUGACCUCGGAUCAGGUAGGAAUACCCGCUGAACUUAAGCAUAUCAAUAA